rnacentral:rRNA from 1 species
AUUGAACGCUGGCGGCAGGCCUAACACAUGCAAGUCGAGCGGAUGAAGGGAGCUUGCUCCUGGAUUCAGCGGCGGACGGGUGAGUAAUGCCCAGGAAUCUGCCUGGUAGUGGGGGAUAACGUCCGGAAACGGGCGCUAAUACCGCAUACGUCCUGAGGGAGAAAGUGGGGGAUCUUCGGACCUCACGCUAUCAGAUGAGCCUAGGUCGGAUUAGCUAGUUGAUGGGGUAAAGGCCUACCAAGGCGACGAUCCGUAACUGGUCUGAGAGGAUGAUCAGUCACACUGGAACUGAGACACGGUCCAGACUCCUACGGGAGGCAGCAGUGGGGAAUAUUGGACAAUGGGCGAAAGCCUGAUCCAGCCAUGCCGCGUGUGUGAAGAAGGUCUUCGGAUUGUAAAGCACUUUAAGUUGGGAGGAAGGGCAGUAAGUUAAUACCUUGCUGUUUUGACGUUACCAACAGAAUAAGCACCGGCUAACUUCGUG